CCUAAUAAGCUCUGGUUUACAACACCCAAACUACAACACUCCUGAAAGUUUGGAGUGACCAAAUGGUCUUUUUAAAAUUAACUGAAACAUCUUAAUUUAUAUAAACCAUACGAGAUUUUGUGAGUAGUGGUGAACGAAAGCAAAACAGGGUUAAAGUACUCCCAGAAAGGGCAUACGAUCCAACCCUAAAGCAAUGUAAACAUAUAUAGAGCAAAGUACCGUGAGGGAAAGGUGAAAGAACAUGAAAUAAAAAAUAGGUUAUAUAUCUGUUAUCAAAAACUUACCUUUUGCAUAAUGGACCCACAAGUCAUAAUUUGGCAAACUCAAAGUAAAGUCAAAUUACCCGAAACCAAGUGAUCUACAUAUGAGCAGUUUUAAGAACGAACCGGUGAUUGUGGCAACACUCUCGGAAGACUUGUAUUUAGAGGUGAAAUACUAAUCGAACUUGGCUAUAGCUGGUUUUCUACGAAAGAUAUUUAAGUAUCACUUGAAGUAAAUUAAAUUGGUACUUUUCAAAAAACCCCUUUAAUUAUACUUUGAAGACAGUCCCUAGGCGACAAGGUCUAGGGACCAAAGGGAAACAACCCAGAACUAAAGUUAAGGUCACCUUAAGCCCACCAACGCAUAUAAGAGAUAUUAGGAAAACACACUUUAAGUAGGCUUGGAGCCAGCCACCUUAGAAUGACUACGUAACAGUUCAAAGUGCCCCUAACAAUUUCUUUAAAUUAAGGUGACUUAUCACUUACCAAAACUUAGUGUAAGGUAGUAGAACGUACUGAUUUAACUGAUUGUAAAUAAAUCAGUAGCGCCACUGUGGGUAUGAGUAACAUCCCCCCUAGAGAUUGUCAAACCGGCCUCUAAGUCUUAUUAUUAAUACAAUGAGUAGAUACCUUAAUUUUCAGGAAACUAGAGUAUCAUGAAACCGUAUCAAAACACGCUUUAGGGAAAUUAACUAGAUCUACUUCUUCAAAGGAACUCGGCAAACUAAAUAAAAAGUUUCUACGAACACCGACUGUUUACCAAAAACAUAGCCCCUAGAUCCAUAUUAGAGGUGACGCCUGCCCGAUGAUUUGGCCUAAACUAAUAACUUUAGUUAACUCAAAUUCAAUGGCCGCGGUAUUUCUGACCGUGAUAAUGUAGCGAAAUCAAUCGUCACUUAAUUGCUGACCGGUAUGAAAGGUAUCACGAGUGUUCAACUGUCUCUGAAGAAGGCCCUGUGAAAUUGUAGGGGCCGUGCAUAUACGGCCCACCCCUUGUAAGACGAAAAGACCCUAUUGAGCUUUACUAUUAGUUUCCCGCCUCUUAAGGCUUAUAGGUAACCCCCUGUAAGCCUAAUUUCGGGGAGUGAGGUAGUUUCGUUGGGGCGACGGCCUUUAAAAAAGCAACAAAGGCUAACAAAGGUAUGAUAUAAAUGUAUCCGACUUGACUACUAGGGGUAUUUCCCGUGUAGACACAUCCGUGAGUCAUAGUAUUCCACCAUAGGUUAACACUUAUGGUGCCAAAACAUAAAAGUUACCAUAGGGAUAACAGCGUAAUUUUGUUGAAGAGCUCUUAUCGAUGACAAAGAUUGCGACCUCGAUGUUGAAUUGUGGUAUCCUGAAGGUGUAGCCGCUUUCAAGGGUUGGUCUGUUCGACCAUUAAAACCAUACAUGAUUUGAGUUCAUUCCGCCGUCAGGCAGGAAGGUUUCUAUCUACAAGCCUCCCCCUAAUUAGAUGACUAGGUAGUACGAAAGGACCCCUAUUUAACCACCUCUAACUAUUUACGUGGUAAGAAGUAUCUCUGAACGACACUAAGAGAGAAGCCUACUAAUUAAGGUUACCCUAUCCAAAGCUAUCCCCCCUAUACAAUUAAUUUAAGUGAUAUAGCUACCGCCAAUGAAUUUGGUACUAAGUGAAAUGAAUUUUUUACCAUACCCUUUAAAACCACCCGAACAA
rnacentral:rRNA from 1 species